rnacentral:rRNA from 1 species
GCCUACGGGGCGCAGCAGUGGGGAAUUUUGGACAAUGGGCGCAAGCCUGAUCCAGCUAUUCCGCGUGUGGGAUGACGGCCCUCGGGUUGUAAACCACUUUAGUAGAGAACGAAAAGGAGCUAUCGAAUAAAUAGCUCUGCUGACGGUACUCUAAGAAUAAGCACCGGCUAACUACGUGCCAGCAGCCGCGGUAAUACGGAGGAUGCGAGCGUUAUCCGGAUUUAUUGGGUUUAAAGGGUGCGCAGGCGGCGAGUUAAGUCAGCGGUAAAAUUUCGGGGCUCAACCCCGACAAGCCGUUGAAACUG